GUGCAUGCCUGAAUCCUAGCACUCAGGAGGCUCAGAUGAAAGGAUCAAGAGUUGUGAGACAGUGAGAUUCUGCUUAAAAAAAAACAAAAAAAAAACCUCAAGAAACAACAACAAACUCCCCCCAAAGAGUUCUUAGUUAUAUAGAUAGUUGUGUAGAUUUCAUGUUCAACAAAGAAAGCAGGAUGUAAAAUUAUAGGUCCAAAUUUAUCUCAGCCAUGUUAAAA